rnacentral:rRNA from 1 species
AUUGAACGCUGGCGGAAUGCUUUACACAUGCAAGUCGAACGGCAGCACGGGGCGAACCUGGUGGCGAGUGGCGAACGGGUGAGUAAUACAUCGGAACGUGCCCAAUCGUGGGGGAUAACGUAGCGAAAGUUACGCUAAUACCGCAUACGAUCUACGGAUGAAAGCGGGGGAUCGCAAGACCUCGCGCGAGUGGAGCGGCCGAUGUCAGAUUAGGUAGUUGGUGGGGUAAAGGCUCACCAAGCCAACGAUCUGUAGCUGGUCUGAGAGGACGACCAGCCACACUGGAACUGAGACACGGUCCAGACUCCUACGGGAGGCAGCAGUGGGGAAUUUUGGACAAUGGGCGCAAGCCUGAUCCAGCCAUUCCGCGUGCAGGAUGAAGGCCUUCGGGUUGUAAACUGCUUUUGUACGGAACGAAACGGCGAGCUCUAAUACAGUUUGCUAAUGACGGUACCGUAAGAAUAAGCACCGGCUAACUACGUG